rnacentral:rRNA from 1 species
UACGUAGGGUGCAAGCGUUUGUCCGGAAUUAUUGGGCGUAAAGAGCUCGUAGGCGGUCUGUCGCGUCUGCUGUGAAAACCUAGGGCUUAACUCUGGGCGUGCAGUGGGUACGGGCAGGCUAGAGUGCGGUAGGAGGGACAGGAAUUCCUGGUGUAGCGGUGAAAUGCGCAGAUAUCAGGAGGAACACCGGUGGCGAAGGCGGUCUCUGGGCCGAUGUUCACGCUGAGGAGCGAAAA